AAAACAGCUGUGAACAGGACGAGUACAUAUGUACACUAUAGUUCAGCGAGUCGGUGACCGGAUUUCCGGAGGUGUGAUGACCGGCCUAGAGAGCAUAUCGAAUGGACCUGUGAGCUGCCCACCAAACGCAUUUGCUAGUAGGCUGGGUCGGACGCCGCCGUUAACAGGCUAGGGUAUCGGAUGAUUUGUAUCCCGUACCUGAACAAGGGAAAGUAUUAGGCUUUUCAAAAAGGGUGGUAUCGCGACCAUUUCGCCCCUGGG
rnacentral:ncRNA from 1 species